rnacentral:tRNA from 1 species
GUAGGUAUAGUUUAACAAAAACAUUAGAUUGUGAUUCUAAAAAUAGGGGUUAAAGCCCUCUUACCCACC